rnacentral:lncRNA from 1 species
CAACAUUCAUCUGUAUUUUGUGUGCUCUCUGUAGCUGAGGUGUGUGGUUACCAUCUAAGGCUUCGUUUAGAUGGUUAUUUAAGCUGCUACGAUUUUUGGACCAAUGUUGGCUUCCCUGACGUCCAUCCAGUGGGGUGGUGUGAGAAAACCAAACAUGACUUAUACAUCCCUCAGGCGAUGCACCAUGGUUUUCUCCUGAAUGUGAAACCGGAAGAUGUGGGUAAGCGAAACCCCAGGUGAAUUUGCUUGCUGCAAUUAUGGAUUUUGACAACCAAAGAAAAAAGGAACUUGAAAAAGGAGGCAACGCUUCAGAAUCGUCUGAGAGAACAAACACAGGCAAAAAAAGUGGAAUCAGGCUCUGCACAUUCCGUAUCGAAAAAUCGCUAUAGCUUGAACUUCAGUAGAAGACUCCAGAAGGUGAACAACCAGUUCAGGGAACAGGGUGAAGACAUGGACCCAGGCUUUGGGUGGACUCAUACCGGUCUGCAUCACCGCAGAGUAACUACCUGGGAUGGAACCACAGGCAAGUCUGAGAAGGGUGGACCCUUGAAAGGUAAAUUUGUGUUACUUUUUCCCCAUGAAGCCCUCUUCCUUAUGGAAACAAGCUCAAUAAGUCACUCAUUUAGUUAAAAUAGUGAAAACUGCUGCUGCUGCUGCUGCUGCUAAGUCGCUUCAGUCGUGUCCAACUCUGUGUGACCCCAUAGACAGCAGCCCACCAGGCUUCCCCGUCCCUGGGAUUCUCCAGGCAAGAACACUGGAGUGGGUUGCCAUUUCCUCCUCCAAUGCAUGAAAGUGAAAAGUGGAAGUGAAGUCGCUCAGUCGAGUCCAACUCUAGUGACCCCAUGGACUGCAGCCUAACUAAUGCUUGGUAAAUGGUGAGAAAAGGUACAGAUGUAUGCGUUCUUGCUUUCUUUCCCUUAACAAGCUCAUUCUCCCAGACUUAGCCUUUUUCCAGCUACAAGUCAAUAACCCAGAAUUCUGAGAAGGCAAAAAGAAACAUUAUUGAUUUUUAGUAGGUGGUAGAUGUGCUUAGUACAAAAUUCAAAAGGUCUGAAGAAUUCACAGUGAAAAUGUGUGCCCCUCCUCAUCCCCUCCUGCAGCUCCAGCUUGUACCCAGGCCAGGGCUGUUCUCUCCUUACUUAGGGAUGCCUCUGUGUGUGUGUGUGUGUGUACAUGGUUACACAUAUCCCUGUGUUCACUUAGCACAAUAAAGUUUGGGAAACGGUUCA